UACGGGGGGGGCAAGCGUUGUUCGGAAUUCCUGGGCGUAAAGGGCUCGUAGGCGGCCAACUAAGUCGGACGUGAAAUCCCUCGGCUUAACCGGGGAACUGCAUCCGAUACUGGAUGGCUUGAGUUCGGGAGAGGGAUGCGGAAUUCCUGGUGUAGCGGUGAAAUGCGUAGAGAUCAGGAAGAACAUCGGUGGCGAAGGCGCUCUGCUGGACCAUAACUGACACUCAGGGACGAAAGCUAGGGGAGCGAAUGGG
rnacentral:rRNA from 1 species